rnacentral:tRNA from 1 species
UUAAUUUAAGUGAUAAUUCACUUUAAUCUUUGAUAUUAACAAAAUUAAUUAAAUUUAAUAAAUUAAA